rnacentral:rRNA from 1 species
ACAGAGGGUGCAAGCGUUGUUCGGAAUUAUUGGGCGUAAAGGGCAGGUAGGUGGUCUAUCAAGAUUGCUGUGAAGACCCCAGGCUUAACCUGGGACGUGCGGCGAUGACUGAUGGACUAGAGUACUGGAGGGGUUUGUGGAAUUCCCGGUGUAGCGGUGAAAUGCGUAGGUAUCGGGAGGAACACCAGAGGCGAAGGCGGCAAACUGGACAGUAACUGACACUCAACUGCGAAAGCGUGGGUAGCAAACAGGA